CCAGACUCCUACGGGAGGCAGCAGUGGGGGAUAUUGCACAAUGGGGGAAACCCUGAUGCAGCGACGCCGCGUGGGCGAAGAAGUAUUUCGGUAUGUAAAGCCCUAUCAGCAGGGAAGAAGAAAUGACGGUACCUGAGUAAGAAGCACCGGCUAAAUACGUGCCAGCGGCCGCGGUAAUACGUAUGGUGCAAGCGUUAUCCGGAUUUACUGGGUGUAAAGGGAGCGCAGGCGGCACGGCAAGCCUGACGUGAAAGCCCGGGGCCCAACCCCGGGACUGCUCUUGGAACUGCGUGGCUAGAGUGCAGGAGGGGCAGGCGGAAUUCCUGGUGUAGCGGUGAAAUGCGUAGAUAUCAGGAGGAACACCGGUGGCGAAGGCGGCCUGCUGGACUGCAACUGACGUUGAGGCCCGAAAGCGUGGGGAGCAAACAGGAUUAGAUACCCCAGUAA
rnacentral:rRNA from 1 species